rnacentral:rRNA from 1 species
UAGCUUGCCGGCGGGGUAACGGCCCACCGGGGCGACGAUCAGUAGGGGUUCUGAGAGGAAGGUCCCCCACAUUGGAACUGAGACACGGUCCAAACUCCUACGGGAGGCAGCAG